UUGAGUGGGCCCACAGUGAGCGCGAGGGCCGCCCAAGGUGUCUUGCAAAUGGCUGAUAGCCUCGUUCAGGGUUCGGAUAUAUCUUCUGUUGCACCCUAAACCAAUUCUGCAUCUGUUGCUCCUCUAGGCCGAGGCUGGAGGCCAGGGCCAUCAGGGUACCGUCCUUCAGGAAGUCUGCCUCCAGCUCCUGCAUCUGCUGCUUGCUGAGGAUCAAAAUAGACCAAUCCGAGGCCGAUGGGUCCAGCAUAUUGUGAAGGCUUUCGAUCUCAUCCAUGGCAAUGGAGGCUCCAUUCAGAAGAAUGGAAGCCUCCAACUUUCCAUCCUCGAGUCUCAGCCUCCUGGGUAGGAGAGAUUACAGUGUGACUGCAAGAACUGGUAACUGAGGACGCUGUGGGUGCAUCGCCUCCGCAACACCAGGACGGACAGAAAGUCAUCCUGAGCUGAAAAUGAUCUGACUGAGAUGAGGCAGAACAUCACGGUGGAAGACAUCAGUGGUGGAGGAAAGCCACAAAGAUCAUGGCGGUCAGGAAAGAGAAAGAGGAGGAGGGAAAAAAAGAAGAAGAAAAGGAGGAGGAGAAGGAAGAGGAGGACGAAGAGAAAAGAGAGAAAGGGGCUGGGAGACAAGAAAUGCCCUUCCAGGGCAAGCCCCCAGGGACCUAUUUCCUUCAACCAGCCCCACCACCUACAAUUUCCACCACCUUUUAGUAGUUCAUUAGGCUAUAAGUGGAUUAAUCCACUGAUGAGAGCAGAGCCCUUAUGAUUCAAUCAUUUCCUAAAAGACCCACCUCUGAAUAAUGCUGCAUUGGAGACCAAGGCUUUAACACACAUGAAACUUUAGGAGAUAUUCUAAAUCUAAACCAUAAGAAUCACUCCGGUGAUAAGGGCUUCUCCAGCCACUUUACAGAACCAAACUGAGAUAAUGGUCAACCAAACCACAGAUUAACCAAGACUGUUCAAUUAUGCAUGUCUCUGUACCAAUUAUUCCUCUAUUUAUUUAUUUAUUUAUUUCACAUCAAUGCUGCAAAGACAGGACUGAGACUCUUGAUCUGUUUCCCUGUACAGCCCUGUUGAUUAAAAUUUCUUUCCGGCCUU